GCUGGCAGCUAGCUCUCUGCAACUCUCACAUGGUCGUCCACUGAAGCUAAGCAGGGCUGCGCCUGGUCAGUACCUAUAUAGGAGACCACAUGGGAAAGACAGGUUGCUGCUGGAA
rnacentral:rRNA from 1 species